CUCUUGAAAAACACUGAGACUACUGAAGAACUUUAUCUUACUCCUUGUCUAAACUCAAGCUUAUUGCUGGGCUUUCAUGGUCAGGAUCUCUGCUGUCAUAGGUUGUGUGCACUGGUAUAAACCAGUAAAGUAAGUGUAUGCCCUAGGAAAUCCAGUGUGCCUGGGGAUGUUCUCCGGCCGAAAUGGAGCCAGAGAAAAACCUCCUGGUUUACCAUUGUCAGUGAUUGCAUUUAGCCUACCAAUCCAAACAGUCACGGGAGACUGGCAAACCUGUGGGAUUUCUGGUGAUCCAAGGAGUACUGUAAAUGCUUGAUUCUGUUGUGUUGUCAUUAGCACAACUAUCUUUUCCAUGGGCUGAUAUUCAGAGCAACAGCAGUGUGCCAUUUCCAGAGAUUUUGUGACUAUGUGGUAUCAGAAAGGAGAAUCAGUGGUAUCAGAAAGUGUGGUAUCAGAAAGGAGUACUCAUUGUAGUGAGUACUUAUGCUGAAGUUAUGGGGAACCCCACGAGCUGUUCUGCCCUGAGGAUUACACAGUAAAACAAGUGGCUCUCAUCUUGCUUGACAAAUAAGACACUCAUUCAAUUUAAACAGGUAUACACUGUGACAUCCUUUAUCAGAGGAGACAAUUUUCUACUUGAGAGAAAGAAUGGCCAAAUAGUGAUACAAGAGCACAAAGCUGACACAGAAAAGAUGUUACACAUUCAGCUUUUAUUUGAAAUGACCUUCAUCCCCUAGAACAGCCAGGGCACUUCCCCACGCACUUCUGCCACUGGUGGCAGAGAAUCAGCCUUAGAGAGAGCAAAGUGCAGUGGCAGCAGCAGCAGCAUCAUCCCUGCCAGGCCCCAGCUCUCUGCUGAUUCAGGUUGUCACUGAGCCAACAGAGACUUUCAUUGCACAGCAGGUCAUCUACCAAUGCUUUAAAACAAGACUGCACCCCCUUUCCUCAUUUGACCAGCUUACUGAAAGCUCAUAGCAAAAUGUGCUGGUUUAACUUAUCCUCAGGUGGGUAACAUUCCAAUUAUUUUGACAUUGUGAAAUCUGGACUUUGCUAAGCAGGUAGGAAAAAUAAAAAAUGCUAUUAGGUUACCCUGAACUGUCUGUUGGCAUUCAUGUCCCAGACGCCAACUGGUUGGAAUAACAGCUAUCAGGCUCAGUUAGACUGGAAAGACACAAAGCAAAAACUGCCUGUUGAUGGGGAUGCCUGAAGGAGGGAUGGUGUCAGAGGAACUCAGUAGAAAACAGCCUGAAGUGUCUCUUCUCACAUGCUCUGUAAUUAAACAUAAGAGUGAAGACUUCCCUUCAGAAAAAAACGCUCUUAAGGAAGACUUAACAUCUUACAUAAAAACAAAUGAGAGAAAAUCCAUCCAGAAUACAAAAUCCAAGGCUGUCGCACAGCCAGAGGCAUUUGGCUGAGGACAGUAAGCCAGCAGCAAUUGCUGCAGGGAAAACCACUGUAGAUUUGGCAGCAGAGAUGUUUCCAGGCAGUCAGGCCAUAUGAAUGGAAUAAUAGCAUCUACAUGGAUGGGAGAUAUGCCUGCUGGAUCAGAUCUGGAUAUUCUGAUGGUUGAUUUAAAGGAACAGUCUUUUUUGUUUAGGAAGAGCAUAUCUCACUAGGCAUAGGAUACCCAUGGAUAUGUUUGCCUCUGUCAAGGAACAUCUCUUAGCUCCAGGUGAACUGUGUUUUUGUGAAAGUUCCGUCUUGCCUGUCUCUAUCCUUCCCCAAAUCAUGUGACUGAGAGGCUAGAGAAUUUAAGUCUUUAAGUCACCUGUCCUUGAGGAGAAGUCUGCAGUUACAACUGCUUUUGUGCAAGGAAGCUGCUGAGCAGCUGUAGCCUGAGGAAAAAAAACCCAACCAACAAAUGGUUGUUGCCAGCUGGGGUCAAAGCAGAAGCUCAGCGGGGUUUGGUUGGGGAUUGCUAGGGAAAACAGUGAAGAGGUUAGCAAUGGGAGAAGUGGCCUGGAGGAUGCAGUCAAAAGUGAGUUUCUGUGAGCUGGGAAAAACUGCUUGGCAGGUUAGGAACCACCUGUAGGGACGAGGAUGAGGUAAAGCCCAGAUUUUUAUCUCACUGCAAUUGCCUCAUUUGAUGGUGGUCUGCGCUUCUCUGCAGAGACCCUGAAAAGGUGCUAGGAAACUCUUCAAUUUCAUUGCCAUUAAAAAUUCCAGGGAAAUCUCUGGAUCUGAUGUGGAAUUAAAGCUUUGAAUUUGCCUUGCAAGCCAAAGAAGGAGACAGUUAGGAAACAUGACAGACAGGUCAACUAUUUAGAACUGUGGGAAAAAUGUUCAUUGUGGCUACAGUCCUUCAUAUAGAAGGGCAUGGUUGUAGACUGGAUGGCCAGAGGCUGCCACCAGUCCUACCUCACACAGGUGCAGGGUAGAUCCUGUAUGUUUGUGGUGGAAAACAAAGCUUAGAAAUAGAAGAUUCACAAAAGAAAACUAAAAAUAUUAGUAGGUUUCAUGACUCACGGCAGUGCUUAAGGGGUUUUAUGUUUGUUUCGGUUUUCUUAAAAGUCAUAUUACAGUCAAAUUUUCUCUUUCAUUUGUUAUAACUUUAAGGAGUAUCUUUUCAAUUUAACUUUAAUUUAAUUUUGUGACAUUGUCUGUAGCAGCAGUUUUUUAUUCUUCUAAACACCUUGGACUGAUGUAGCAAUGACAGGAAACACCAGCAACCUCCUGAUAAAGAACACCUUUUGGGUAAACUCAUUGCCAGAGACACACUGAAUGAUGUGAUAUGCUGAAAAAAUGCACAGGUUGAGUUCAAGAAAAUGAGAAAAUGUACUUCAUCAUCUUGCAGGUCUUGUCCUCAGCAUCUCUCUGCCAAAGAAAAAUGCUUUUCUUCAAAACCUAAUAUGAGGCAGUGAUUACAAAAAACCCCAUAGAUACUUGAAAUUUUCUGACCUGCCCACAGUCACAUAAUUUGCUCAGCAGCAAUGCAAGGUGAACACAUAGUGGAUCCCACUCCUGUUGCUUUGCUUGUUGAGACCGCAGUCCCCUGAGAUGUGAGGGCACAGCAGCUGGCACAGCCCUUUCACCAUAACAGGAAAAAUGGAAAUAAGCCACAGGCAGUCAGCACUCCAGAUGGAAAGGGUCACUAGUGGAAAGCUGAGUUCAAACCCUAUUGAUCCCAACAGCCCUAGCACUGACGCACAAAUGAACAUAAAGUAGGAACAAAAAAUCUAAAUGCAAACCAUCUAAAGUGCAUGACAUAUGUGUGUACAAGUAUCCUAUCACAGAUGUAAGCAUGCAUACUACCAAACAGUAUACAGCUCAGAAGGGAAUGAAAAAAAAUACAUUUGCAAGUGAUGCCACUGGACACUGCUGAACAGAGCAAUGCACAAAUGUGAUUCAGCAGCUGCUCCCUUCCUGCUCUGCACAGAUAACACGAGGUUUCAUGCAUGUGGCAGCUCCUAUCAUUUUCUGUCCAAAUCUGGGGAAGGAGACAGAAGAUAGGAGGAAGCAGUAUUUUAUAUUGCUAUCUAGCAAACUUCUCAGAAACAUUGAAGAAAUGGUGUCAACACACCUCUGAAAGAGAAACUGCUGCUCAGCUGAGAGGAAACAUGACGCCCAAAGAACCUCUUGUGAAGAAGUGGAUGAAGGUGUGCAGAUACGACUUCUGAAGAUGAAGAAUACAGUACUAUUCUUGAUUCAUAAAGCAAGUAAUUGCUUGUACAGUUAAUUUUAAGGCUUUGAAAAUGUGAAAAAUCUCUACCCCUUCUUAAGAGAUAGUGUGUAUCAGAUGACUAAGGUAAUCAUGAUAA